UACGUAGGGUGCAAGCGUUAAUCGGAAUUACUGGGCGUAAAGCGUGCGCAGGCGGUUUUGUAAGUCAGAUGUGAAAUCCCCGGGCUUAACCUGGGAACUGCAUUUGUGACUGCAUGGCUGGAGUGCGGCAGAGGGGGAUGGAAUUCCGCGUGUAGCAGUGAAAUGCGCAGAUAUCAGGAGGAACACCUAUAGCGAAGGCAGCUUGCUGGGACGUUACUGACGCUAAGGCGCGAAAGCGUGGGGAGCGAACAGG
rnacentral:rRNA from 1 species